UUCGCGACAUCGCCUCUCGCGCGGCUAGGGCACGCGACCUCCCACCGCCAGCCGUCUCUUCUUCCUCACCCAGCAGCUCUUUCUUCUCUCCACUACCGCACAGACCCCUCUCAGGAAUCGGGAAGUGCGGUGGUGGAUUUCGCCGGCGAUGACGACGCCCAACAACCUUCCCAACGGCGGCCACCACCAGCGCCCACACCCUCCGCCCGACCCUCGGAGGCAGCGCCACUACCUCGGUACGCCCAUCGCCACCCCUUCCUCCUCUUCCUCCGCCGCCUCCUUCAAGGGUUGUUGCUGUUGCCUCUUCCUACUCCUCACCUUCCUCGCCCUCCUCGCCAUCGCCGUCGCUCUCGUCAUCGUCCUCAUCCUCAAGCCCAAGAAUGCCCAGUUCGACCUCCAACAGGUGGUCGUGCAGUACCUCCUCGUCGCCCCAGUUUCAGCUGAAUCAGGAUGAAAGCUGAAUAGAUAAUGGUUGAGAUGGAAAAUGACAGCGGCAUGAUCUGUAGCUGGCUUCCUCCAAAUCCAAGCUCGAGAACCCUAUUGUCAAGCUCUUCGACUGAAGAUUUUGGCUCUAGAUCGUUACCAGCUUUCUUGGUAGAGAAUGGAAAUUUGGGGCUUUCAUGGAACCCUAGAAACCAAACGGCGGGUGUGAGCUCAAAAACAGAAGGUGAGGUUGGAGCCAAUUCCAUUAAUUGCCUCUCGCCUCAACCGAAGUUGUUUGGUGACUCUAAAUCAAGCUCAUUUGGAGGGCUUGCACAGAGGAUGGCAACAAGAAAAGGUUUCAAUGUUCCAAAGCUUGAUACAGCCAACAUUCCAUCCACUAGCUUGAUACGGGCUUGAGGUGUCUCAUAGUUGGGAAGAUAGAAAAGAAAGAAGAUCCGAUGCGGAGAACUCUGAGGAUGAAAGACGAAGAUUAAGUAUUGGAGCUUUAAAGAAAAAGGCACUGAGUGCUUCUUCUAAGUUCACACAUUCUCUCAAGAAGCGAGGGAAGAGGAGAGAUGUUAAUAGGACUUCUUCUGUUUCAAUCGAGAAUGAUAGGGAUUUGGAAGAGGAGCACGAAGUAUACACAUUCCGCAAGGGGCUAAUUUCUAGGGACUUAUUGCCUGAUAAACAUGACGACUAUCACAUGCUGCUCAGGUUUCUGAAAGCUAGAAAAUUUGAUCGUGAGAAAGCAACUCUUAUGUAGGCAGAUAUGCUUUAGUGGAGACAGGAAUUUGGAGCAGAUACAAUUUUGGAUAUAUACAAUGGUAGGUGUUUUGUCCCAGUCUCAAGCCGACAAUCCUUUUUGAUCAGUA